ACAGCUGCGGUCCAAUCUGAAGGGAGCUGCCCAACUAGGCAGCAUUUUCAGGCAGCAUAGGCGCGCUCCCGAGAAAAGGACUGUCCCAUUCGGAAGGUGGCAUGUGCUGCCUACCUGGGCAGCUGCCUUAUUUUACCCCGAUUCUGAAGGCAGCGUGAGAUGUAUCCUUCACGGCGAAGGCAAUCCCAUGAUGCAUUUCACCAGCUCAGAGUUCCAGCGCUCAGAUUUAAAAACAUGGCGGACGGAGCCGGCACUGCGAGGGAGUUUCUGUUCAAAUGGAUGAACGUGGGCCGGGGAAGGUGAACUCUGGUCAGACCGGCUGGAGGCAGCGUUAGCUCCCUUUAUGAAUAUAUAUAUUUUUUCUUUGAAUGUAAUAAAGUUUUCUCUCUUAACAUUA